rnacentral:rRNA from 1 species
CCUACGGGAGGCAGCAGUGGGGAAUAUUGGACAAUGGGGGCAACCCUGAUCCAGCCAUGCCGCGUGAGUGAUGACGGCCUUAGGGUUGUAAAGCUCUUUUCUCCGGGACGAUAAUGACGGUACCGGAGGAAUAAGCCCCGGCUAACUUCGUGCCAGCAGCCGCGGUAAUACGAAGGGGGCUAGCGUUGCUCGGAAUCACUGGGCGUAAAGGGCGCGUAGGCGGCUGACUUAGUCGAGGGUGAAAGCCCGUGGCUCAACCACGGAAUGGCCUUCGAUACUGGUUGGCUUGAGACCGGAAGAGGACAGCGGAACUGCGAGUGUAGAGGUGAAAUUCGUAGAUAUUCGCAAGAACACCAGUGGCGAAGGCGGCUGUCUGGUCCGGUUCUGACGCUGAGGCGCGAAGCGUGGGGAGCAAACAGGAUUAGAUACCCUGGUAGUCCACGCUGUAGACGAUGAAUGCUAGCCGUUGGUCUGCAUGCGNGUCGAGUGGCGCCGCGUACGACAUAGCNCUCCGUCCGUGGGAGGUACGGUCGCGAGAAUUAAACUACGAAGUUAGUUAGUAGCGNGNGAGCGCGACGACGACGACGAGGAGGAGG